UACAUGACUGUUGGAAGCUGUUUUUCCCUGUUUCGGGAACUGUUUUCUUAGAUGACUGCGUUUUCCACACUUCUGGAUUUCCCUCUAGUCUUUGAAAAUCAUCUUUUCUUUACAAGCUUUUAUAAAACCUACCAGUUGGCUCCCUGAGUUCUUGGUUAUCUCACCACCCUGUCAUGCAAGUCACCGAGCAGGGAAAAUGACUCAUGGGCUCAAAGAAAACCUAACUCAUUGAAUCAGGAGUUGGAAAAGCAGCUCAGUGAGUCAUUGUGUCCUUCACCGCCUUAGACAGCACCACACCUAGCCCACUCCAGCCAGAAAGGAGGAAUCAUUUUUAAUAAGCUGCCGGAGAAGGAUUAUUUACAAUAAUAAAUCCUAUUUCUACAAAUAUCUCUAUUCCCGAAGCAACAACAAAGAUGGUCCAAAAUUGAAGCCCAAAGUACAAGCUGAAGCCUCGAGCUAUGCAAAGCCAGGAGCCCAGCCUCUGGAAAUCAACCACGCUCAAGCAUCUCAGCUGCGUGUCAGCGAUGGCCAUGCCACUGACAGGUGGGGUUUGGGCAUGACAUCUAUAAAGCGUUAGAUAAGACGGAGUUCUGGAAACACCUGCUGCUCUCUGUUCUCCUCAAUAAUGUGAGUGAUUCAAGACCUAUUUUUUACUCUUUGGAAGACACUAAUUAGCAUUUAGUUUGAUUUACCCCAAUUAGGCAAAUAGUUGUUUAAUGAGAAAUCUUCACAAGUUAGAAGGGUCACAUUACCCUCCCAGAGGAAUUAAACCAGCCCCACAAAAUCUGGUGGGGGAGUCAGGAGGAGCGUCUCCUAUAUAUUUAUAGGAAUUUACUACCACGAACAAUUAAUGUAUUAUGUUAGAUUUUAGCGCAUGCUAUCUUGUGUUCUCAAGAAUACCUACAAAAUCUCUAGGCACUCCUUAGUACUUGCUGACUUGUCUUGAUUUUCUGUCCUAUAAUGCUCACUGAGCAUCGAUCCUAGGUUGGAUGAGGGUUGGUACAACGGCCAUCGCACCCUGUCUUCUGUUUUCAGCGUCCGAGAUGUUUGACCAUGAGCAAGACAUAGUCUCUUUAUACUGGGUACCCUCAGAUGAAAAAUGGGGUUGGUAACAUCUGACUUCAAGUCCUUUAACCUAUGCUGUCACAUAAGGUCCCAAACUUAGAAGGGCCCUGAGCUUCGUUUAAUGCUCUGCUGUUGCCAUCUUGAAAUUCUUUUUUGUUAUUGUUGUUGAGAGUUUACUUUUUUUAAUGAAAUCUCUACAUCCCACAUGGAGCUCAAACUCACAACCCAAGAUCAAGAGUCAU
rnacentral:lncRNA from 12 species